CUUCAGGUUCUCUAGUGAAAGCUGAGAGCCUUGGGGCUUUGCGAGUCUCUGACAGAGCUGUAUGCAAGUCCCAUUAUCUGCUGGAGAAAGUUGCCUUAACUACCUCAGGCUGUGAUUUCCAGCUCAUUCACUGGGUCUGACUGUGGCUAAGAGAACGGAAUACUGGUCUGUGAGAGCCACUUCAGGAAUUUUUUGCUUGGAGUUACAUAAUGAGAUUGACAUUUUAAAAGGACCACCUGAUACUGUAUGGAGAAUGGCUUAGAGGGCUGAACUGAUGCUUGAAGUAAUUAAGGCUUCCAGUAUGAUGUUGAAAAAUAAUGGUGAGAGGGGACAUUCUUGCCUUAUUGCUGAUCUUAUUGGGAAAGCUUCAAGUUUCUCACCAUUAAGG